UCUUCACUUCCCCCCAACCUCCUUAAUUCUUUCCCCUUUCUGAACCCUAAAUCCUUCGGCGUGUGACAAAGCCUCUCCCUUCACAGCACCUUGCCCACAAGGUGUGGGAAGGUGGUCUUCAACUGCUCCCAUGUUUACCCUUCCAUGCCAUUGAACCAAGAGCUCAGUGAGAGGCUGGUUCUUGAACUUCCUGACUCGACGAGCCAACACUAGCUCAAGCUCUGGUUUGAAGACCCCAGCGGCGUCUAUGGGGGGCAAAGUAGGCAAGUGCACGUUUCAAUGGCCCAACCUUUUCUUCAAGCAUGAUAUAUGGAACACCGGGUGUAUGGUUGUCGUUGGAGGUAAUUGGAUCUUGUAAGCCACCAUGCCAACCCUCUAUACUACUGGGUAAGGUCUAUAAACCUUGGAGCUAACUUUGCAUUUCUUCGAUGAUCCAUUGUAAGUUGGCGAUAAGGCUGAAGCCGAAGAUAAACUUGAUCUCCAACUUGUAAAGAUCUUAAGUUGUGAGUCAGUGGAUUUCUUCAAGGAAGAUAACCCAUCCUGAAGUUGAUUAAGGCGUGUACCUUCUGCCAUUGUUCUUGAACCGAAUGAUGAAGAAGAAGAUAGAACCAAGCGAUGGUCACUAUGGAUCAAUCUCUGAUACCAACUGUUACACUCUCAAAUCUGUGAUAUAUUUUUAUGAAUUUUCUAUGUAAGGAUGACUGUAAUAGUGAGCUUUUUAGAAGGGAGUAUCUCUAGAAAGUUAGAGAGAGAGAAGAGCGAAUUGGAUAACAACUUUGAUUGAAAUUCAACAUAAACCUUCAGCACA